CUAUUCUAAAAAAUUGAGCAGAAAGGACUCCUUCCCAACUCAUUCUAUGAGGCUAGCAUCAUCUUAAUGGUAAACUUUCAAUGACUCUCCACCACCAAGAGGAUGAAUUUCUAUCUCCUUAGAAUGGCAUAUAAAGCCAUUUGUGAUUUGGCCCUGGCUUCCCUCUCCACUCCAGCAGCUGUACUUAAGUACUUGUAGGUCCCUUAGGGAGCCAUAAUUUGUGGCAUUUUUACAUGUUACUUCCUUGGCAUAUAUAUUUUAUUUUAUUUUUGUCAGGCCCACACCACUUAGAUGUUGCUGACUCUAGUAAAGCUUCCCUUACUCCCCAGGUGCUGGGCUAAGUACCCCUAUUCUGGGAACCCUUCUGCUUACCAUAUCACAGCACUUCCGUGACUUCAUAAUCGUCUGUUUACUUGCCAUUUCCUCUAUUAAAUUCUGAGCUCCCUGAUGGGAGUAUUCAUGGUUAGAGUCUCAGUCUCUAUUACGGGCCCUAGUACACUUCAGGAACUCAAAAGCUUUGCUGAUAUAAUGCAAGGUGAUAAAAAAGUAGAAAGACUUGGGAUAAUCUUGAUUUCUGAAGGCAUCAAACGGGAAUUAGAGAAAGCAGCAGGAAAAACGAAGGCCUUUUUAAGUUCCAUGAGAACUACGGUUUGCAAGACUGGUCAAAACAGUACAAUGCAAGCGGCAAGAAUCAGGAAGUGCACAGAAACAAGAAGCUCGGUGCACACUGGGAUCAGGCAAGCAUCUGGGAGAAGACUGUAGCAAGACUGGAUCCUGAGAGAUUAUUACAUCGCAAGACAAUGCAUCGCUCCAGCAAGGAUAACAAAGCGAAUGGGAAGGAAAGGGUUAUGAAGAGUUCAUGGAAGGCACCUUAGGCAGACUACUUUUAGGAAAGAGUGGAUGUGGAAGCUAAGUAUCUGGAAAUUGAUUUCCUUAGAACAGUUUGUGUUUGCAUGUCUUCUGAAAGGUUUUAUGUACUCCCAAGAGUAAGUAUACCUGUUUGAAGAAGCUGCUCAAUAUAGUUCUUAAAAUAGUCUACAAACAUGUUACCCCAGCAUAGUAAGAAAUAGGAGUACAGCCAGAAAUGAGAGUGGGAAUGAUUAGAGAGACCUCUUUGAGGCCUUGGUCGUGGGCAGGAGCACAGUGGGCCGGGCUCUUUCUAGAUGUGCUUUAAUCAUCAGGAAUUCUGAUACAAUUAUAUUUUGACUAUGAUAUAUAAGCUUCAUUUGAUUACUGUUGCCAAAUAUUUUUUGCUCUUCACGAAGUAAACCUCUUUUUAAAACUUUUUAACUGGCAAAUAAUAAUUGCAUCUAUUUAGGGAGUACAUUGUGAUGUUUUGAUACAUGAUUACAUUGUGGAAUGAUUUAAUCAAUCUACUUAAAUUUAGUGAAAAUAACUUAAGCUAUUAAUCUCAGCCUUGGUGGCUUCUCCUAAUUUAUGCUUACACAAGAGGCUAUCUUCAUUGUGAAAUGUCACAGACUCUCACAAGCAAGAGAAGAAAAUGUAGAGAAGCCCCUCAAAUAAAAUGCAUUAGGUUAAUUCAUACCGACAAAUGUGACACACUUAAAAUUGUUCCUAACAUCAGUUCAUGAUUUAUUUCAAAAGUUCUUAAUAUUCAAAAAUGCUCAAUAAUUUAAAGUAUUUCAAUGUAUAUAGCAAAUAAACCCUGCUAUUAAAACAAAAGAAUCAGGUUCAUUUCAGAAGAGUGAAAACUAGCAAGAUCUUACUGUAAAUCAACUGUUUGUUUUCAAUUAUUUGGCAUGAGAUCUUACAUAUUUUUAACCCAUGUUUUAAUUCUCGUAGAUACCCUGUUGCAAAAGUUCUGAAACAUUGUGAGAAAAAGUGUUUUUGUAGCACUUUGGCAAUGGGAGCCUCACUUCACUCUGUUAUGUAAUGUCCCAUCCAGUUUUUAGUUAAACCUGGAAACACCUUUGUCCUUAGGUGAAGCAGCAAGUCUUGCUUAAGCAAAGCUGGUGAAAUCAGAGCCUGGUCCAAGGCUCAGAAGCGUUUGCGGGGAAAAGCAAACACUUUUUGUGGGAGAAGGAAACAAAGGAGAAGAGAGGAGGAGGAAGAAAUUGAAAAAGAAGGGGAAGAGAAGAGGAAAAGAAAAAGAGACGUUGAGAGAAAGAAAAACAGAGAGCUGUGUGUGAUUGGAUGCCAUGACUCCUCAGUCUUAGUGCUAAUGCCGUUGUUACCUAACUCUAUUUAGGGAACUUUCCAGAACAAAGCGAAGCUUUGUGGGCCUGGCUUUCAGAACUUAUGCAACAAUUGUUUUGGGAGCAGACUGAAAAUUUUACAAGAGAACUGAGUUUUCAAGAGACUGACGGUGUGACCAAAAGAUCAAAGGUUUGGUGCAGUGGGACUAAGUUUCAGGCAGCCUUUCAAAUUGUGAAGACUUUCCUCCCUGUUAUGGCAGUUAAGACAUGUGAAAAUGGUAGUUCGAGACACUUAUAAGCAACUUUCUUCUUAGUUCACAAUGUUCCAUGAAUGUCAGUGCCCUCCAAACUCACGAGAACAAAGCAGGCAACCAGGAUGAUUACUCCCAAAUCAUUGAUAAAAGGAGAGAGAAGUACAGAGAUACACAGUGAUUUGUGUGGGUUGCCAAAAAGUUGCACGGUCAGUUUGACAACUGUUAUUGCCUUCAGGUUGACAAAUUGCAAAAGCAGCAUUGCUGUGUAUGGGUGGGGAGGGAGGAGGAAUUGCAUGAGUAAGAAUGAGAUGAGCAAUAGUUAGGUGGGGUGGAAAUGAAAUCUCAACAGUUAUUGGGGAUUCUGAUGUAUUUAUCAAACCAAAAGACGAUCUAAAAGCCAUACAAUCAGACUUAGAUUAGGGCAGUCUGUGAUAAGCAAAAGUUAAUAUAGUGUGUUGUUUUUGAAAAUAUGGCAUGAUAAUUAAUAGCAACUCUUUUUGUAUACUUGCUUGGUUAACAGGAGGAAACACAGAUAAAUUAAAUACUGGUUAGCAAUCUUUAAUAACCAGGAGAUGCUUAACAUUUAUUUAGAAAUCUGCAACAUUUUAUAAAUCAUUGUUUUGGCUUCUGGGACAAACUCAGAAUCUGGAACCCACGGAAACCCUUCAGUUACACAAAGGCUUUCCAGUUCAUUGCUACUGCACUGAAGAACAGUCUUCACAACUAUACCUGGAACUUACUAGGCCAAGAAGGCAAGGCGUUGGUAUGUGUUUUUAUUGUAGUUAAACUUAUCUGGAUUUAAAAGGCAUUAACUAUCUUCUGAUUUCUUCCUUUUUCUUCAAUUGUACAAGAGUGUUUCAAUUGAAUAUUGCAACUGAAGACAUUCACUCUGCGUUGAUCACCUAUGGAGUGAUCAAAUUUCAACCCUUUGAAGUUUCCUAAAUGAAAGAGGCACUCUGAAUUCAAAGGCUGUUUGAAUGAACUGACUGCUUCAGCACUGUCUUGUAGAUAUAGUCCAUUCAAAUAAAAGACAAAUAUCUGACUGAAUUUUGUUAGCACGUUAAGACAUGUAUUAUAAAAAGGUUUAAGAAGAAAAUAAUGGCCACAAUUCUUCAGAAAACAUGUGAACUAAUGUGACAAAACACUGUGGUGUUGCAAACUCAAGUGCUGCUCUGGCCAAGUCACCUCGCUGAAAUCUCCACUUCCACUUGUGCAACCUACCAAGCCACUCUCUACACAGCUGCCAGAGUGAUUACAAAAACAACGCGGGAUUAUGCUACCCCUGCUUAUCUAAAAUUUGUCAAAAUGCCCGUUACACUUUGAAUAAAAUACAGAUUCCUCUCAGAUCUCAUUUCUUAUCAUGUCUUUCUCAAUCAUUAUGUUCCAGCCUCACUGACCUUCUUUCUGUUCCUGUAAAAUAUUCCUGCCUCAAGGGCGCAGGCCUACGACCUGCAGUUCUCUUUUUCCCACAUGUGACCAGGCUCUCUCUUAGCCAUCAGGUCUCAAAUAAGCUCUUUCCGUUCUGUCUAGGCAUCUUAUCAAAAUCAACCUGUGUAUUAUUAUUCAUUUAUCACAUAAUCUUGUUUUAUUUUCCUCAUAGCACUCUCACUUUCUGAAAUUAUCUU
rnacentral:lncRNA from 1 species